rnacentral:tRNA from 1 species
ACCUGGCUGGCUCAGUUGCUUGAGCAUCUGACUUUAGCUCAGGUCAUAAUCUUGUGGUUCGUGGGUUCAAGCCCUACAUCGGGCU